rnacentral:lncRNA from 1 species
UGGUUAAAAAUUAUUAAAUUGAUUCAUUAUUUGGGCUUUGGAUUCAAAAAAUUACAAGGAAUGCCAUUAAAGAAAAACAUUUUCUGAUUUGCACUGUAAUUUCAACGACUCAAUUUGAAAAUUCAAAAAUCAUCUUUAUCUCUCUAUGACUGUAACAAAAAAUUUGUGUCGUCAGCCCCGAGUCGGCCACCGUUCAAGGCUGCCGGUCUUUAUUUUUUGGUCACCUUUCCAGCCGCAACAACCACCAUUCGAACCAGAAGUAACCGCCCAUCAGGCCCCAAGCGAGAACCGCCGCUGAUUAGCUGCCGAUCGGCGGGAAAAGGGUUAUAACAGCCGCGAUCGCGGCUGCAACACCCCAAAUUUUAUAACAGCGGCCAUCGCGGCUGUAAUACCCCAAAUAUUGCGAUCGCGGCUGUUCUCUUUUGAAAUUAAAUUUAAUUUCACAAUAUCUUACAAUUGAUUUCACGCGAAUUGUUUGGAUUAAGUUUGUAUUAGUAAGCCUUAUAAAUAAUUUGCAGUUAAAAUAAUUAAACUUAUUGUUGCGUAUAAUGUAUUCGACGGAAUGUGUGCGAAAGUGGGUGCGUUGUUGUCGCUUUAAUUUACUUUGGAUGAGCAAUUUUUUUUUCUUUUUUGGGGCUUGAUUUGGUCAUGGCUGGUUAGGGAAUGGAGAGAGAAGUUUGAGAAUGGUAUUAGCCUAUUAGGUCUCAUUGAAUAGGAAACUUGUAGAAAGGUUCGAGCUAAAAACCCCUCAAAAGUACAAUUGUAUCAAUUGAAAAAUUUGCAGCUUAUAACAUCCAGAUCCCUGAACUAUAAAAUAUAAUAAUUGAAACCCAAGGCUAAGUUGUUAUAUCCUUACUUUCUGCAAUAGAGAAUAAAACUCUCCACAAUUAGCCAUAACAAUUUUUUCUUCAAUGCAGAAAACGAAUCAUCUCAGCAUUAGACUGUCUCAAAUUAUACACUCUUUCAUACAUUUUAGUGUUUCAAAACAAAGCUCAAAAAGAACGAAAAAGAAGAAAAAAGAAAAGGCAAAAGCCAAGAAUCCAGCUAGGGAAAACAACUAAAG